AACGAACGCUGGCGGCAGGCCUAACACAUGCAAGUCGAGCGGACCCUUCGGGGUCAGCGGCGGACGGGUGCGUAACGCGUGGGAAUCUGCCCUUCUCUACGGAAUAGUCCUGGGAAACUGGGGGUAAUACCGUAUACGCCCUUUGGGGGAAAGAUUUAUCGGGGAAGGAUUAGCCCGCGUUGGAUUAGGUAGUUGGUGGGGUAAUGGCCUACCAAGCCGACGAUCCAUAGCUGGUUUGAGAGGAUGAUCAGCCACACUGGGACUGAGACACGGCCCAGACUCCUACGGGAGGCAGCAGUGGGGAAUCUUAGACAAUGGGGGCAACCCUGAUCUAGCCAUGCCGCGUGAGUGAUGAAGGCCUUAGGGUUGUAAAGCUCUUUCAGCUGGGAAGAUAAUGACGGUACCAGCAGAAGAAGCCCCGGCUAACUCCGUG
rnacentral:rRNA from 1 species